rnacentral:rRNA from 1 species
GACGAACCGUGCGAACGUUAUUCGGAAUCACUGGGCUUAAAGCGCGUGUAGGCGGCCCGGCACGUCAUCGGCUGAAAUCCCCCGGCUCAACCGGGGAAGGGGCCGUGAUACGGCCGGGCUGGAGGGGGGUAGGGGGGACGGGAACUUCCGGUGGAGCGGUGAAAUGCGUUGAGAUCGGAAGGAACGCCCGCGGCGAAAGCGCGUCCCUGGACCCCACCUGACGCUGAGACGCGAAAGCCAGGGGAGCGAACGGG